rnacentral:rRNA from 1 species
AGUGAACGCUGGCGGUAGGCCUAACACAUGCAAGUCGAACGGCAGCACAGAGGAGCUUGCUCCUUGGGUGGCGAGUGGCGGACGGGUGAGGAAUACAUCGGAAUCUACUCUGUCGUGGGGGAUAACGUAGGGAAACUUACGCUAAUACCGCAUACGACCUACGGGUGAAAGCAGGGGAUCUUCGGACCUUGCGCGAUUGAAUGAGCCGAUGUCGGAUUAGCUAGUUGGCGGGGUAAAGGCCCACCAAGGCGACGAUCCGUAGCUGGUCUGAGAGGAUGAUCAGCCAAACUGGAACUGAGACACGGUCCAGGCUCCUACGGGAGGCAGCAGUGGGGAAUAUUGGACAAUGGGCGCAAGCCUGAUCCAGCCAUACCGCGUGGGUGAAGAAGGCCUUCGGGUUGUAAAGCCCUUUUGUUGGGAAAGAAAUCCAGCUGGCUAAUACCCGGUUGGGAUGACGGUACCCAAAGAAUAAGCACCGGCUAACUUCGUGCCAGCAGCCGCCGCGG